UUAAACCAAUUUGUUUUUUAUUAGUUCUCGGUGAAACAUAUAAAUAAAAGGGUCGAAAAUGAUUUUUCAAAGGCAACAACGCAUUCCUAUGUCCGGAAAAUUGGUUAAUCAGGUGUUCUAAAUUAGGAAAGCCUCUAGAGGCGUAAGCGUUGCUGCUCUGAAAGAAUUCCAUUUGAUUAUACAAAUCCAAGAGAACUUGCUGGUAGUAAACGUCUCUUUUUACAGUUCUAAGGUUUUUCAACCCACUUUUGCAUCAGCAGAUUGAGUAGCUUCACACACUGCCUGCAUGCAUUCAUGCCUCUCAGAUUCCUUCUCAAAGUUCGCUGAAUUUAGAAGUGCAGUGGUUGCAGCAAGCUCAACAUGAUCACUAGGUUCAUCUUUUCUAAUCCCAUGAACAAUUGCAGUCAGGAUGUCAUUUGAUUGUGAAUUAAGAACAUUUGGUUCCUAUAAUAAAAUAUCAAGAUACAUUUGA